rnacentral:lncRNA from 1 species
GAUGCCUCUGACAGUCAGGAAAAGACAGAGAUGGACGGAUCUCAGGAAAGAAGGGAGUGAUAUGCAGACUGUCUGUGAGCCAAGCAGGAAGUAGUUUCCCACUGAGGACUGCCCUGACAAGCAGAAGGGAGAAGGGAGAUGCCUGGAGUGAAGAGCGGGUGUGAUGGCUCCUCCCAGCAUCUCUGAGCUGCCUGUACUGGGAAGCCAGGAGGAUGAACCAACUGACCACUUUGUGAACUACUGGAUCCUUCCUUACCGGGACUGUGCAGUAUUUAAUGACUCAACUCCGGAUGUUUCCUUUCCACUGAUGUCAGUUUAUAGAGCAGCUCUCAAGCGAAUGUUUGUGCAGAAAGGAAAGAGGUCCCCGCCAGCAGGAGUCUGUGAUUAAAUGGAGACACAGAUGCUGCCUUCUGCAGGGCUUGUCCUCCACAUCUAGUUGCGGCCACUUAGCUGACUCAGGUGCUGAGCUCUGGACUGACUCUUAAGAGGCUGUUGCUGUUGCUCAGUUCCUUUUUUUCCUGCAUGAGAGAGGAUCUCCCCUUGUACCCAUG